CCUACGGGGGGCACCAGUGGGGAAUAUUGGACAAUGGGCGAAAGCCUGAUCCAGCAAUGCCGCGUGUGUGAAGAAGGUCUUCGGAUUGUAAAGCACUUUCGACGGGACGAUGAUGACGGUACCCGUAGAAGAAGCCCCGGCUAACUUCGUGCCAGCAGCCGCGGUAAUACGAAGGGGGCUAGCGUUGCUCGGAAUGACUGGGCGUAAAGGGCGCGUAGGCGGUUUAUGCAGUCAGAUGUGAAAUCCCCGGGCUUAACCUGAGAACUGCAUUUGAGACGCAUAGACUAGAGGUCGAGAGAGGGUUGUGGAAUUCCCAGUGUAGAGGUGAAAUUCGUAGAUAUUGGGAAGAACACCGGUGGCGAAGGCGGCAACCUGGCUCGAUACUGACGCUGAGGCACGAAAGCGUGGGGAGCAAACAGGAUUAGAUACCCGGGUAGUC
rnacentral:rRNA from 1 species